rnacentral:lncRNA from 1 species
AAAUCUCGCGCAUUUAUGAGAGCAUCUGCUAUUUAUGGAAAUCCACUUAAAGAGCACGCUCAAUGGAGAUUUGAUCUGAUCAGGAGCUUUAAGGAUAAGACUAACUUAAUGGAAUAGCUGGAUGACUUAUUCUAUCAUAUAAAGUCCUUUAAACACUUUUGGAAAGUCUUGAUAUAUCCUUAAUGAAGAUUGAAAAAGUAUCAGAUCAUCCUUUAUGAUUCUCAAGGAGCGUCUGAGCAUUUGUGAAGAAAGAGGAGCGUGCCUAUUCAUUAUAUAUACGAAGACCAAGCUCAAGACUAUAUAUCUCAUUGAAAAAAUAUUAGUUCACAUAUUGAGUCUUUGUUGAGUCUUUUAUUAUUUGAUUGUAAUUCUUGCUUGUGGAUCCUAUAACACGAGUUAAGAAGUAAGUUUAUUAGUUUAAGGUUGCUCCUAAGCUUUGAAGUACGGAGUUUACCGUGUGUGAUUCACUUGAAGCUUUUAAGCAAAAGUGAAGUGUUGUCUUGACAAGUUGUCACCACAUCUUUCUCAACAUUGUAUAAUCAACACAGGUUGUGUUGUGUGAGUGGAAGUGAGAUGGGAUCUCAUGUCUAGGAGUUCCUAGGCAGAAGUUGCAUGAGUAGUGUCGAGGUUAUAAGGCGUAAAC